CAGCCGCCGCGGGAAUACGGAGGGUGCGAGCGUUAAUCGGAAUUACUGGGCGUAAAGCGGGCGCAGACGGCUACUUAAGCAGGAUGUGAAAUCCCCGGGCUCAACCUGGGGAUUGCGUUCUGAACUGGGUGGCUAGAGUGUGUCAGAGGGGGGUAGAAUUCCACGUGUAGCAGUGAAAUGCGUAGAGAUGUGGAGGAAUACUGAUGGCGAAGGCAGCCCCCUGGGAUAGCACUGACGUUCAUGCCCGAAAGCGUGGGUAGCAAACAGGAUUAGAUACCCCAGUAGUCCCUGUCUCUUAUAC
rnacentral:rRNA from 1 species